rnacentral:rRNA from 1 species
CAUGGCCUACGGGAGGCAGCAGUGAGGAAUAUUGGUCAAUGGGCGCGAGCCUGAACCAGCCACGUCGCGUGAAGGAUGACUGCCCUACGGGUUGUAAACUUCUUCUAUAAAGGAAUAAAGUGAGGCACGUGUGCCUUUUUGUAUGUACUUUAUGAAUAAGGAUCGGCUAGCUCCGUGCCAGCAGCCGCGGUAAUACGGAGGAUCCGCGCGUUAUCCGGAUUUAUUGGGUUUAAAGGGAGCGUAGAUGGGUUGUUAAGUCAGUUGUGAAAGUUUGCGGCUCAACCGUAAAAUUGCAAUUGAUACUG